rnacentral:rRNA from 1 species
CAGUAGCCACGGUAAUACGAGGGGGGCAAGCGUUGUUCGGAAUUAUUGGGCGUAAAAAGUGCGUAGGCGGUUUGGCAAGUUUGGUGUGAAAUCUUCGGGCUCAACUCGAAGUCUGCAUCGAAAACUGCCGGGCUUGAGUAUGGGAGAGGUGAGUGGAAUUUCCGGUGUAGCGGUGAAAUGCGUAGAUAUCGGAAGGAACACCUGUGGCGAAAGCGGCUCACUGGACCAUAACUGACGCUGAUGCACGAAAGCUAGGGGAGCAAACAGGAUUAGAUACCCCGGUAGUCCCUGUCUCUUAUAC